AACCACUUCGGUGGUCAUCCGUACAAAUUGGAACGAUACAGAGAAGAUUAGCAUGGCCCCUGCGCAAGGAUGACACGCAUAAAUCGAGAAGUAUCGCACUUUUUG
rnacentral:snRNA from 1 species